rnacentral:rRNA from 1 species
GUAACAACCAUUUGAGUCUGGGAUUUCUGAAUGGGGAAACCCACUUACAUAAGUAAGUAUCCUUACCUGAAUACAUAGGGUGAGGAGGCGAACCGGGGGAACUGAAACAUCUAAGUACCCCGAGGAAAAGAAAUCAACCGAGAUUCCGAAAGUAGCGGCGAGCGAAAUUGGACUAGCCCUUAAGCUUUACACGCGUUAGACGAACGGUCUGGAAAGUCCGACGAUACAGGGUGAUAGUCCCGUAGUUGACGACGUGUGUUCAGUGAAAUCGAGUAGGGCGGGACACGUGAUAUCCUGUCUGAAUAUGGGGGGACCAUCCUCCAAGGCUAAAUACUACUGACUGACCGAUAGUGAACCAGUACCGUGAGGGAAAGGCGAAAAGAACCCCUGUGAGGGGAGUGAAAUAGAACCUGAAACCGUGUACGUACAAGCAGUAGGAGCAGGCUUUGUCCUGUGACUGCGUACCUUUUGUAUAAUGGGUCAGCGACUUAUAUUCAGUGGCAAGGUUAACCAUCUAGGGGAGCCGUAGGGAAACCGAGUCUUAACUGGGCGUUCAGUCUCUGGAUAUAGACCCGAAACCAGGUGAUCUAGCCAUGGGCAGGUUGAAGGUUGAGUAACAUCAACUGGAGGACCGAACCGACUAAUGUUGAAAAAUUAGCGGAUGACUUGUGGCUAGGGGUGAAAGGCCAAUCAAACCUGGAGAUAGCUGGUUCUCCCCGAAAGCUAUUUAGGUAGCGCCUCGGACGAAUACUACUGGGGGUAGAGCACUGUUAAGGCUAGGGGGUCAUCCCGACUUACCAACCCUUUGCAAACUCCGAAUACCAGUAAGUACUAUCCGGGAGACACACGGCGGGUGCUAACGUCCGUCGUGGAGAGGGAAACAACCCAGACCGCCAGCUAAGGUCCCAAAUUACUACUAAGUGGGAAACGAUGUGGGAAGGCUCAGACAGCCAGGAUGUUGGCUUAGAAGCAGCCAUCAUUUAAAGAAAGCGUAAUAGCUCACUGGUCGAGUCGGCCUGCGCGGAAGAUGUAACGGGGCUAAGUAGUAAACCGAAGCUGCGGCAAUAUACUUUUGUAUAUUGGGUAGGGGAGCGUUCUGUAAGCGGUUGAAGGUGUGUGGUAACGCAUGCUGGACGUAUCAGAAGUGCGAAUGCUGACAUGAGUAACGAUAAAGGGGGUGAAAAACCUCCUCGCCGGAAGACCAAGGGUUCCUGUCCAACGUUAAUCGGGGCAGGGUAAGUCGACCCCUAAGGCGAGGCCGAAAGGCGUAGUCGAUGGGAAACGGGUUAAUAUUCCCGUACUUCUUACAAUUGCGAUGGGGGGACGGAGAAGGCUAGGUGGGCCUGGCGACGGUUGUCCAGGUUCAAGUGCGUAGGCUUAAGAGUUAGGUAAAUCCGGCUCUUUUUAAGGCUGAGACACGACGUCGAGCAUCUACGGA